GAAUGUAUAAAAGAUUAGCCUCCGCCGCUGCCUGAAACUCCAAUCACAAGUGCCUCUGCCCGUUGCUGAAGUCAUCCAAGUCCUUUUGACAGGGGCCGUAGCCGGUAAUCUGAUAGGAGCACUUACAGUAUCAAGGUGGGAGCCGUCCGGACGGAAUGUGAAGGAAACGGCUAAACAGAUGUGGACCACUUUCCAGCACACUUGGUCCCAAUCAACUGAAUGAGCUCGAUGAAUAUUUGGAGACUUUCUGCUGCGCGUGCGAGGAUUUAUGUGGGGCUUCCGUACUCGCGCCACCAUCCACUGGAGCUGAUGUAGCCUGGACCCCCCCUCGCUUCAGUCAACACUGACAGCCCUGUCCACCAGAGUGAGUGCUUACUCAAGGACUUCUAAUGGUUUUAUGUUGCGUCUAGACUUUAAUAAGCAGUUGUGUUCUCCCGACAGCACAGCCCAAAUAUCCCUCGAAGGUCCUAUGGCGGUGCCUCGGUAAGAAAAUACUGUACGCAUGUGUUGCAGAGCUGAACUCAAAUACGCUCCUCGUAGACCGGAAUGUGGUAAACCCACAGAAAGAUGCCCUGUCAUCACAAAUAUCAACCAGGAAGUGUGCUUUUCUGUUUUACUAUGCUGAAAUAGUAUCACGUAUGGAAACAAUGCAACGUAAAGAAAAUACAAAACAUGACUCCUUCCUUUAAAAUCUGUUUGAAUAAAAGUGAAAUGAUACCGA